AGUAUGGUGGCAUAUCAGUUUCCCUUGCACCUGGAUGAAACUGUCUAUCUAGACCCGUUCCAGUCCGGUUUCCGGCCCGGUUACAGCACGGAGACGGCUUUGGUCGCGUUGGUGGAUGAUCUCUGGAGGGCCAGGGAUAGGGGUUGUUCCUCUGCCCUGGUCCUAUUAGACCUCUCAGCGGCUUUUGAUACCAUCGACCAUGGUAUCCUGCUGCGCCGGUUGGAGGGAUUGGGAGUGGGAGGCACCGUUUAUCGGUGGUUCUCCUCCUAUCUCUCCGACCGGUCGCAGUCGGUGUUGACAGGGGGGCAGAGGUCGGUCCCGAGGCGCCUCACUUGUGGGGUGCCGCAGGGAUCGAUCCUCUCGCCCCUUCUGUUCAACAUCUACAUGAAGCCGCUGGGUGAGAUCAUCAGUGGGUUCGGUGUGAGGUACCAGCUGUAUGCGGAUGACACCCAGCUGUACUUUUCCACACCGGACCACCCCAAUGAAGCCAUCGAAGUGCUGUCCCGGUGUCUGGAGGCCGUACGGGUCUGGAUGGGGAGAAACAGGCUCAAGCUCAAUCCCUCCAAGACAGAGUGGCUGUGGAUGCCGGCAUCCCGGUACAGUCAGCUAAAUCCGCGGCUGACCAUCGGUGGCGAGUCAUUGGCCCCGAUGGAGAGGGUGCGCAACAGCGUCCUCCUGGAUGAACGGCUGUCUCUAGAAGAUCACUUGACGGCCGUCUCCAGGAGAGCGUUCUACCAGGUACGCCUGGUGCGCCAGUUGCGCCCCUUUCUGGACCGGGAGGCCCUAUGCACGGUCACUCACGCUCUCGUGACGUCUCGCCUGGAUUACUGCAACGCUCUCUACAUGGGGCUUCCCUUGAAGGGCAUCCGGAGGCUACAGUUAGUCCAGAAUGCGGCUGCGGGUGAUAGAUGGAGCCCCUCGUGGCUCCCGCAUAACACCCAUCCUGCGCAGGCUGCACUGGCUACCUGUGGCCUUCCGGGUGCGCUUCAAGGUUUUGGUGACCACCUUUAAAGCGCUCCAUGGCAUAGGGCCGGGUUAUCUACGGGACCGUCUACUGCGACCAGAUACCUCUCACCGACCCGUGCGCUCUCACAGAGAGGGACUCCUCAGGGUGCCGUCAGCUAGGCAGUGUCGUCUGGCGACGCCCAGGGGAAGGGCCUUCUCUGUGGGGGCUCCCACCCUCUGGAACGAACUCCCCCCAGGACUCCGUCAACUUCCAGAUCUUCGAACCUUCCGUCGCGAGCUCAAGACUCAUUUAUUCAUCUGUGCAGGACUGGCUUAGACUUUUAAAUUUAGAGGGGUUUUAAAUUGAUUUUAAUAUUUAUAUUUCUAUUUUUAAAAAUUGGUAUUAUUAAUUAUUGGCAUUAGAAUAAGUCUUUUAAUGAUUAUUUUAAUUUGUAUAUUGAUGUUUUUUAUAUGCCUGUAAACCGCCCUGAGUCCUUUGGGAGAUAGGGCGGUAUAUAAGUUUAAAUAAUAAAUAAAAUAAAUAAGUAAUAAAUAAAUAAAUUAAUAUAUUUUGGAUUGCCAAUACAGCAAUCCAAAAUGUGAACCAUUGCAAAACAUUACAGGGUACCUAAAUUUGUAAAUGCUUAGGUUUUUUUUUAAUAGCAUCUAUCUGAAUAUAGAAUGGCAAACCAUUUUUGUAUUGUAUAACUUCAGUGAUAGUAUUUAAUUAGUUCAUUUGAAGUACAGUUGGAUGAAAUAGAAGAUUAAGUUGAGGAAUCCUAUUAUAACUAAAAAGUCUGUUUGAAGUAUGAAAUGUAUUUGAUAAAAGUACAUAGAGGUCAAGGUCAUAAGAUUCUAAUGGAUCUUAAAAUUUCUUGUAGACUAGUGAGGAUAUCAGGCUUAUAAUAAGCAUUGACACAUCUACAUACCCUGUUUCCCUGAAAAUAAGACACCCCUGGAUAAUAAGCCCAAUCGACCUUUUAAGCACAUGUGCUAAAAUAACCCCUCCCAAAAAAUAAGCCCUCCCUGAAAAUAUACACUGUAAGCCGCCCUGAGUCUUCGGAGAAGGGCGGGGUAUAAAUGUAAACAAAAAAAAAAUUAAAAAAAAAAUAUUUAAGUGCAUGCACAGCUGGUCCCUGCUGUUUCCUCUGGUUAGGGUUAGGUAGACAGAGCUGGAAAUCAGGUAAGACAGCAAGAGGAGCCCUGUCUUGCUCCAUGCACCCCAAAAUAAUAAGACCUCCCCGAAAAUAAGGCCAAGCGCUUAUUUCGGGGUUCAAAAAAUAUAUAAGACACGGUCUUAUUUUCGGGGAAACACAGUAUAUUCAACAUAUUUUUUCACUAUUGGUACAUCAAGUAGCUGAAGUGCCAAGAGGUAGUUAAUAUAUCCACCCAGAACCAGCAAAUUAAUUGCAUUAAAUAAAUGUUAUCAACAUCAAAUAGAGAUCUGGGUGAUGCUUAGAUAAAUAUUUGAGUUUCAAAUUACUUAAGUUUUGAUUAAAUAAAAUUAAGUUCUGGAGAAAUAGAGAUAUUGUUUCAACAUACAGCUUUCCAACCUGCAGUUUUAUAAUGAAGAUUGCUGGAGUGAGCUGGAGUGAAUUUAUGUUUCCCAAGCACAGCAGUUCCAUUGGGUCAUUUUUAAUUUCUUUCAGCAAUGAGAUGGUCUAACCAUUUGAACAGCUGUUGGACAGCUGGCUAAUGGACCCAAAAAGUGUGCCCACUGCCUGCUGCUUCCCUACACUUUUUCCUCUCUUAUUAAACAUGUUGAAAGCAGGAUGGAUGUUCCCAACAAUAUGAAUAUUAAGCAACAAUGGAGACAAUCCUUCUUUCCCGCUGUGUUUGAAUUUUGCCCUCAUUUUUCUGUAUGUGAACGAAACAUUCACAUAGGGGGAAAGCAAAAAGAUGAAAAUGAAUAUGCAUUGCAAUUAUUACAAAGGCAGGAUUGAAAUAUGAAGGCUGCUCUUACAGUUUAUUGAAAUGCUGAAGACCAACAAAACUCCCACCUAAAAAUACACACAUACAUCAAUAUAUUAUCUAGAACAUAAUAGAAGUAGUGUUGAGCCCCCAAGGAAGUUGUUAAGAAUUAUUUUGUUAAAUGGAUGUAAAAAUGCAUUAUUAUAGAAUCAAAAGUUUUUUUAUGUUAUUGUUUGUCAAUUAUGGUAACUUACCAGUUAGCAGGUGCUUCAUGAAUAGCAAGAUGUGCACCAGCCAGUGCUAGAAGGGCUAAUGGGCUAUAUUAAAAGAAGCAUUAUACCAAAAAUAUUUGAAGUUGUUACUCCCAUCUAAUCUAUCACACCUGGAACAUAGUGAAUGAUUCUGGGUAUUGCAUUUCCAGAAAGAUUGACAAGUUAGAAUAAGUUCAGAGGAGGGCAAGAAAAUUGAUAUAGAGAGAUGACAUGCUUUGUGAGGACAGGCUAAAAGAACUUGGGAUGGAGAAAAAACUAAAAGAAGAUAUCUUGGGAUUCAAGUUCGUAAAAGUGUGCCAUAGAGAAGAUGGUCAGGAACUAUUUUAAUUGCCAUGGAAACAAGGUCCAGAAAUAAUAGCCAACAAACAGUAAAUAACUACAUACAAAUGAUGGGUAUAAAUGUGGCGUCUGGAUGGGAAACAGCAGGCUUCAACUGGACCUGUUAAGGCUAAGUAGCUUUGGGUUUUAGGACCUUCUGGAUCUGGGACUUUAAUACUGGAGUUCCACUGACCCAAUCAGAUCUGGUGUGCAAUUUGGAGUCCUACUGAACUCAUGACUCCUGCUCAUAGAGCAGGUGCCAAUCGUGAUAGGAGGGAUUUUAUGCUAGUUGUGCCCUGGAUCAUGAGGCUCUACUUGCAGUUACUCAUGCUCAGGUCACCUUCCAAAUGGACAAUUGUAAUGUACUGUAUAUGAGGCUGCUCUUGAACAGAAUCCAAAAGCAUCAACUGCUGUAAAAGGGAAGUUAUGCAUGUCCCUAGAAUGGCACAUACUCAACCUUAGUUGACUAUGUGCGGCCUUAGUUACUGGCUUGCUUCCCGUUCAAUUCAAGGUGCUGGCUUUGAUCUUUAAAGCCCUACAUGGCAUUGGAUCAGGUUCUUUGAGGGACUACCUUUCCCUGGAUACUUCUACUCAUCCAUCAUGUCCAGCAGGAGGAGUGUGUGUAUGGCUCCCAUCUGCUGAAGAAUUCCAUCUAAUGGUGCCUGGGAGGUGGGCCUUUUCACAGAAUCUGCCCUUUGGAACAUCAUUGCCUCCUCCCCUCUCCCCCCAGUUCCCCGUGAUGAAAGUAGGCCUGACCAGGGGUGAAAUGUAAAAUUUGUUACUACUGGUUCUGUGGGCAUGGCUUGGGAGUUAAUGUGACUAGGUGGGCAUGGCCAACUUUUUUUUUUUUUUUUACUUUUAAAAGCAUUUUUUCUACAACCUCUUCGGCCGAAGAGGUUGUAGAAAAAAUGCCUUUAAAGUGUUCUGAUGAUCCCAGCUGAUCGUCAGAACCUCAUCAGAGGCUUUUUUUUUAAACUUUUAAAAGGAUUUUUUCGGCUGAAGAAAAAUUGCUUUUAAAAGUAAAAAAAACAAACCCUCUGAUGAUCGUGCAGCUCAGCUGGGCAUGGGUGGGGGGCAGGGAUUUUUGUUACCGGUUCUCCGAACCACCCGCUGCCAUCGCUACCAAAUCGGGCGAUCCGGUCUGAAACGGGAGCAUUUCACCCCUGGGCCUGACCCUAUUGGCAUUUAGGAACUCCCUGAAAACAGUUCUUUCAACAGGCUUGGGGAUCCCAUGGAAAUGGGGAUCCCAUAAAAUUGUAGCACUGUGUGUGGGAUGCUGGUUCAUUCAACUUAUUUUUUAUCUGUUUUAACUGGUUUCUUCAUAGAUGUUUUAACUUUUUAUUGUAUACUGCCUAGAAUCGUGUUUGUGAGAUGGGUGAUUAUAUAAAUCAAAUAAACAAGCUCAACUAACCAGAUUUCUUUCUUUUUUUUCCUUCUUCAAUUCAGUUGUGCUGACUGUCCCUGCAGUUUUGUUGGCAAGGUUUUUUAGAAGUGGUUUAUAAUUCCUUCUUGGGGCUGAGAGAAAGUGACUCUAGAAUUCUGGUGUUCUGUGUAAAAAGCUGUUCUUCAAAAUUCUAUCUAAUGGUCUCUGGUAUAAUUCUUGCCAAAGAGCAAACUUCUGUUCAUAAGCAGAGUGCUUUCACACCAUAGACAAAAUCCCAACUCCUGGGCCAUCUAAGCUGACUAAAGCUCCACUAUCUACUAGUAGUGCUCUAACUGCAGCAUCUAACUUAAUGUUGAUAUAGAAGAAUUGUAUCUGUUAAAUAUUACAGAUUGGUUGCAAUACGAGUCUUAGGCCUAGAGUUUCAUCUUAUAAUAGACCAUUCAGUAUUUGAAAUAGAUUAUUUUACUGUGUUGUUUGAGUUGCUCUGUUGUUAGCCCAUUAAAAUAAGCUGAAAUGUGUCUCUCACCUUUGUUUAACCAUAGGACAGUCAAUAUCAACUUAGUCUUUUCGAGUCUUUAGAUUGCUAAGGAACUAACAUCUGUUUGUUUGAUAGAGGGUUAUCAGGAGGAAUAUUGACUUCCUGGAUAGGUGACAAUGGGUCUAAAUUUGAGUAAGUGAGGAUCUGCCUAUAAUCAUGGCUCAAUAUAAUAUUCCCCUCCUAUAGAUAACCUUCCUGCUCGACAUGAAAAAAGAACAUAGAAUAAUGUUCUAUAACAUAGGAAGAUGCAGAAGAGACAGUCCAUUUAAGUGAUCAGGCCAGAAAUGAAUGACAACUGUGAAAUCAUGAAUAAUUUCUGACAGGGAAGCAUCAAAACAGAUACUCUACUUAAAACAAUCAGCUAGGAAGAUUUUGACAGUCCCAAAAUUGCUUGUGCUAGAUCUGAUGCACCAACGUAUAUUUUAAAAAGUUACAGAAAAAUUAAGCAAUUUAUGUGGCUGCCUGUAUUAUUUAGAAUCCAGAAGAGACUGAAUAGGAUAAUUGAUCAGAAUACUGGAAUCUUUUUGGAGAUAAUACAGAUUUGAUUUCUGUUUGUUUGUUUGUUUAAUUGAUAAUAGAUUCAUUUUUGUUCCAUAAUAGCUACACUUUUAUGAAACAUGGCAUUUUUUUUAUCUCCCUGAACCUUUCCUGUAUUUAUUGAAAUUGGUUUCUUAAUAGUUUUUAUUUUAUUGUUUCUUUUUGUCUCAAAGAGACUAUUAGAUGAAAUAUAAACAGUGAGUAAGACGAAUCAUAUUAAGCUGGAAUCUUUCUGACUCCAGAGAUAGAGUUUACUAUUUGACUUGUUUGGGUUACUGUAAAGAUAUUCUCCUUUAUAUAAAAAAUAUAUUGCCUAGUUAGUUGAUAUCAUUAUGUUAUUGAUGUUUUAGAUUUCAAAGAACUCCAGGUUGCCUUUCAUAACUAAUUCCCAAUGCAUCCCUUUUUUCAAUCCUUUCUCCAAGUGGAUAUGUUCAAUCCUUCAUGUUUGAAAAGAAUGACCUUUUGCUGUCUGAAGGAUAAUACCAAUAUGUCUACAGCUCAACAAAUAGCUUUUCUAAGGCCCAGCUGCCCUCACAAUCUUCUCAAAAUGUCCUCUGUGUAGCGGCUUCUGUGCAUUCUGCCUCUUGAGAGGGAUGGCUAUCAAAAUAGUUUGCCAGAGGACAAAGUUGAAAGGGAUUGAGAUCUUCCUCAUAGUAGGUAUUACUAUUGUGGUGAGCCUCAGUUGUAUGGUAUAUGGCCCCAUGAGGUGAGUUGAACAUAUUACUUGUACCCAUAAUAGUCUGGCCUUGGAAAUCACAGGAGUGUCAACACACUAUCAAAAUCAGUAGUGAUUAACAGUUGAAGAAGAUUGUCAAUUACAUGCUUGUUUGCAAUUUAAUCCUGGGCUUAAACUUAAAAUGCAAGGGUAUCUUUAUAGAAUAUAACAUUCAAUUAUUUUAAAUUCAAAAUAACAUUGUUUUAGCACCUGGGAUAUCUGAAUGGAACUAUAUUCAUUAAUUUGGUCAUGCAUACUCGAUAUUUGUUCUGUUCUAGAAACUAAAAGUAGCUUUUUUCCCCUAAUAGCACAGAUAUUAAACUGAAAUAAUAGUUCAUAAACUUAAUUCUCAAUUCAAAUCAUUUUCAAUAUAUUUACAUUAGUAACAUUCUUUCAUUAAUUGUAGGGCUUGCUUCCCAGUUUAUGUUUGCUGAAAAUCAAUUAUUAAAGAGUGACUAAUGGAAUAAUAAAUAUUUUUACAUCUAUUUCUCUAAUAAAAGAUGUGCAAUUUGAUUUUAAAAUCCUUCAUAAUAUUCAUAAUGUUUGCCCUUCAAGUAAUCUAUUGAUAUUCUAUAAACUUCUUUUGUAAAAUGUGUAACACCCAUAAAACUGACAUGUCAAACUGAGUUCUAAAAUGAGUUGUUUAGAAAUUAUAGGCAAACAGCGGAAAAAAAUGACUCCUUAGCAAAUAUUUGGAGGAAUAACAAACUGGCCACAACUUUAAUUCCUGAAGGUUAUAGACUAGAAUAUAUUAGAAUAAUAGAAUCUAUAAGUUGAAGGAUUCUCACAAUUUUUCUUGUCAAGCCUUCUGUUCAUAGCUAAUAUCCAUUAAACCAUCUCUUAUUGAUGUUUGUCUGCAAUAAGACAUUUAUUAUAGUUUUAGGCAGACUUUCACUGUUUAGUAGCUUUUAAUAUCUGGUUUCUUGUAAUAUUCAGCCUGAUUUUUUUUUCUUUUAGUCACCAAUUGCCAGCCUGUCUUUUGUUCUGUUUCAGAAAAAAACAGGCCCAUUUUUUAGAAAAUAGUUUUUUUUAGAAAUUUCUAGGCUGCUACUUUAUGUCUCCUUAGCCUUCUGUUUUGUAGGGUAAACAUGAUACUGAUGAUGUGCCAUCAUGGUCAGCUCCUUUCAUUCUUUUAGGGCCUCUAUUAUGGUAGCUCUGUUUGAUCCAACUUCCACUUCUCCAUGUCUCUUUGAAGAUAAAAUUGUUUAAACUUGGACACAGAAUUUCAAGUGAAUUGCUGCCAAAACAGAAUGCAACAAAAAUAUUUUCUAUGAUCUAGAAGCAAUGACUUUGUUACUGCAACCCAAAUUGUCAUUGACCUAUUUAGCUCCAGCAUCAUACUUGGUCACACUUAUGUGGUAACUGACUACAAGUAUUAAGUCAAUCACCACAUGUGUGUGUCCAAGAAGUGUAAUGCUGGAGCUAAAUAAGCAGUGGUGAAAUUCAAGUAAUUUAACAACCAGUUCUCUGCCCUAAUGAUUUCUUCCAACAACCAGUUUGCCAAACUGCUCAGAAAGUUAACAACCGGUUCCCCUCAAAGUGGUGCGAACUGCCUGAAUCCCACCACUGUAAAUAAGCCAGUACUUAUAGCUCCUAGUACUCGUAGUCAGAUACCAUAUUCUCCCUCAAAUUGCCCCAGGCCAGGUUUCCAGAAUUCUGUAUCUUGUAUAUCCUGUAGUGUGCCAGAGUUAGCUCCUUCUGACUCCAGAGUGUUGAUUGUUACAUUUUCACAAUAGAUCAAGAAUGGGUAUAGAACCCUCAUCCUGCCCAUGUCAUCCAAAAGUCUGACCCAAAGGUGCUUUUUCAAGAGCCAACUGGACAUUCUGGGUUUUUUUUUUCUUUAAAGAUGCUUCACUUCUCAUCCAAGAAGCUUCUUCUGAAAAAGCACUUUUGGGACAACCAUGACCUGGAUGACUGAGAAUCUCCAUAGGCAAAAAUCUGACCAAUGCCACUUCUUCCCCAUACCUGGGUCUAAAUCUUUAUGAAAAGUCUCCAGAUAAUCCACUUUAUCCAGGGGCCACUGAAAUUAUUUUCUAUCUACUAUUUCAGUCACAUUCUUACAAAUGGGAGGUUAGUUACUAAAUGAAAAUUGCCUGGUACAAUGGGGUCACUGAUGACUUCUUGAGGAGGAUAUGUACAAAGGUCUCUUUAAGAAGUAAUGAAACAAACUCUCUAACUCAAAGAAGAAUUUACACCCACUAGAACUCAUUCAUGUGAUACCCCUAGGUAACCUUAACAAACCAGGAGACCGUGGAUCUAAAGAUGAGCUCAUAAUCCUAAAGUGCAAACAGCUGUCUCAUUUGUGUCUGAUCAGAGAUCUAAGGCCUUGAUUAGUGUUGGUUACCUUACAUUGCACUUUGCUUUUCCAAAGCUUCUGCUGUCACCAGGUUGACUAUCCUUCAACUAUAUCUUCCUCAAACAUAUGCAACAAAACACAAGGAGCUGUUAGGGCCCAACUCUUUGUGCUUUGUUCCUAGGCCUCCUGGAGGGUUGCCUUGAAACAAUCAUAGAGUCAUAUUCUUUAUUCUUACCAGCAUCCUUGAAUUAAAGUAAAAGGCAUUGGAGGUUUUUCUCCUUUUUUUGGGUGCUGUUUUAUCUUUACAAAAUUAGAUUCAGCAGAAAGUUGGAAAGGAAAAAGCUUUUAACCUUUGGAGACCAUUGGUGAUCUUUGUCCAUUUGAGUUAGUGUGGCAGACAAAUGCCAUAUUUGGAAGACUCCUGCUGCUGCCCACUCUAUCUCUGUUUCUAUUCAGUGAAAAAGAAAUCUAAUGGCAACCCAUGAAAAGCUGUCUCAAGGAACAAUAGGUUCUUUUAGUUUCCCAUUUAUUUAUGAGCAAAGAGCUCAGCUUGUUGCAAAUUGCACUCAGGAUAGCAGCUACUGUAUAGAACAAAUAAGACAUGACUUUGUGCGUUUCCUGCAAAUAAAGGGUGGAACUUAUAGCUCUCCAGAUAACCUUGGGAUUCCAACUCUCCUCAUCCCAACCUCCAUUGCCAACGCUUGGAGAUGAUCAGAGUUGUAAUCCAACAAUGUAAAAGGAGAGCUGAGCCAGGCAAGGACAGUGACCAGAGGGGGCACCAGAUAUACCAGGAGGCUGCAGAGGAGAGCUGAUCUGGGUAAGUGAGCAAGCCAGUGACCAUAGGAGGCACUAGACACACCAGGAGGCUGCAGAGGAGGGCCGAUCUGGGUGAGUAAACAAGCCAGCGACCAGAGGGGUCAUCACCAGAAGGCUACAGAGGAGACCUGUUCCAAGUGAGUGAGUGACCCAGUGAAUAAAUAUUAAAUUGUCAAUCAUACUCAGAAAAAAACAAUUUCUCCCUAAAAAGUCUCUUCAAAAUCUCAUAGUUGCAAAGCUUUCUGAGAGAAAGAAAUACCAAUAAAAAUAAGAAUAUUUGUCUAUAUAUACCAUGCUUAAUUGUUAUUUGUGGUCAAGGGUUACAUUAUGUCCAUUGGAAUUAAAUUGUCUUUAGGCUAAUAUGGUUUCAUUGCAACCACUCCAGACAACGGCCACCCUUAAGAAAACAAAAUCCUUUCAUUUUUUCCUUAAAAAGAUAAGCAAUUAUUUGUUUUUUAAGAUAGGUUUGUUGUCUAAAAAAUAACGUUUUGUUAGUGUCUUACAACACAAUCCAAUAUUUAUUUUCUCAGGACUAUCAAGUUAGUGAAAUUGAGCUUGAGAGAAGAGAGAUACUUGUUCUCAAGCAAAUGUUAUAUUUUGUUUAUUCUAAAUCAGGGGUGUCGAACUCGCAGCAUCAUGGAGGCGUCACAUGAUGUAUCAGGACUUUCCCCCCUCCUUUGCUAAACUGGCAGUGGGCGUGGCCAGUACAUGACCCAUUUGGCCCGCGGGCUGCGAGUUUGACAGCCCUGUUCUAAAUGAACAAAUCUACUACAUAUGUUUGUUAUUUAGUACUGCAGUGGUCACUUGAGAAAUGAUUAGGAAGAAGUUUUUGAAAUCUUGCUAAUGACUAUUCCAUGAGUUUGGGGAAAAAGAGACAUAGUUCUGUUUAAUAAUCUACUUCUUAACCAGUCUCUUAAUCUAAUUUAAUGAAAUAGGUGGGGGGGUUUUCAGACUCACACUGAUGACUGAAGAACUACAAGCUGCUUAUUCAUUAAAGCAGGAAAAAACCACUCCAGGAAUGUGUUGCACUCACACUUACAUGAGGUCCAAAUCAUUUCUUAAUGAUUUUUGAAAUCAUUUUUUUUCAGCUUUCCCCCUGCAAGUUCAGGAUCCACUUUUUUCAGAUCAUCUAGGUGUUGGUCCAUUGGUUGUGACAGAAAUUGACCGACCAGACUGACAUCAUGGGCUGAGAUUGGGGCAAGGUUGCCCAGAUGGCUUUGAUGCAUAAGGCAGGAUUAAAACUCACAGCAGAAGAAAAAGACAAUUCAGAAUUUUAUGCAGUUUGGGAAAAAUGGUAUACUUGGACAGAUAAUAGAAAUAAAAAUUGGAAAUAUACCUAAGGCUAUUGAGGAUUAGUUAUUGAAUGUAUAUAAUGUAUAUGUCAUAUGGAAUGUUGAUCCAAAGCAUAUAGAAAUGACACAGUGUUGAUUAUGUACUAGAGUUAUGUAAAGGAAAAAAUUUAAU